rnacentral:rRNA from 1 species
UACAGAGGGUGCAAGCGUUAAUCGGAUUUACUGGGCGUAAAGGGCGCGUAGGUGGUUGUGUAAGUGAGAUGUGAAAUCCCCGGGCUUAACCUGGGAACUGCGUCUUAUACUGCAUAGCUUGAGUACAUGAGAGGGUAGUGGAAUUUCCGGUGUAGCGGUGAAGUGCGUAGAUAUCGGAAGGAACACCAGUGGCGAAGGCGGCUACCUGGCAUGAUACUGACACUGAGGCGCGAGAGCGUGGGGAGCAAAC